rnacentral:misc_RNA from 1 species
GUUCCCGCAUCCCAUUUAGCAUUAGUAGCCCUUUCCCUUCUGUUCGUUUUCUUUCAACCAAGAUCAACAAGCACCGGUGAUGGCAGCAACCUCAGCAUCCUCAAGCAGCUCCAGCAACUCUUGAAAUGUCGACGUUGAUGGAUAAAUUGAGCGGUCAACGAUGGGUCUAUUUCCGACCCUCUUUUUAAUGCCUCUAAGUUUCAUUCAAUUCGUCACAAUCUAGGGAAACUUUCCAAACUGACGGGAAAGGGAGAAAUAGGUUUUUCGACGAAGGGGCAUUCACACUCAUUUCUUGUUAAUCCAUGACACACUUCUUGAUCGACGGUUCUACAAGUUGAUUUCUGCCUUCUCCUAUCUAUUUCUUUCAUAUUUUGAGCUUUGGAUUAUUUAUAGGUUGUAUUAUUGUAAUUUAUUUCAAUUUAUAGACAAUUUUGAUAUUGCAAAUGGAGAAUUAUGGGCAUACUGAUUUGGACAUUCAGAUUUUGGGGAUAAUUUAUUUAAAAAUGUCAAUUUGUAUGACAGUUGUGUUGUGAAUUAGGAUAUUGGUCUAUGAAUUGGUAGUUGAGUUGAAAUUGAC